rnacentral:rRNA from 1 species
CCUACGGGUGGCAGCAGUGGGGAAUAUUGCACAAUGGGGGGAACCCUGAUGCAGCAAUGCCGCGUGGGUGAAGAAGCACUCCGGUGCGUAAAGCCCUGUCAGCAGGGAAGAAAAUGACAGUACCUGGACAAGAAGCCCCGGCUAACUACGUGCCAGCAGCCGCGGUAAUACGUAGGGGGCAAGCGUUAUCCGGAUUUACUGGGUGUAAAGGGAGCGUAGACGGUGAUGUAAGUCUGGAGUGAAAGGCGGGGGCCCAACCCGCGGACUGCUCUGGAAACUAUGUGACUGGAGUGCAGGAGAGGUGAGCGGAAUUCCUAGUGUAGCGGUGAAAUGCGUAGAUAUUAGGAGGAACACCAGUGGCGAAGGCGGCUCACUGGACUGUAACUGACGUUGAGGCUCGAAAGCGUGGGGAGCAAACAGGAUUAGAUACCCCAGUAGUC